rnacentral:lncRNA from 1 species
AUGAAUUCAUUUUUCUUCUACAGUUUUGGGCCUCUCAGCUUACCUGCCACCGUGAAUUCAAGUAUUCCAAAAAAAGAUCCACCUCCUCCUCCACCGCCUCGUCCCAGGACCCACACUAGAAGUUCAUCUCUCGAUCUCAAUAGACUGGCAAAAUAUGGAAAAAAUGGACCUCCAAUCGUGCCCCCAAGAGUUUCGCCAAGUGUGGUUUCACCAAAGAAAUUAGCUGGUCAAAAGAGUGAAGGGGAGGAAUUUGCUGAUUUUACGCAACUCUCUAAAGAAAUCAGUGAAUAUCAACAACCAGGAGGUGGAGCUUUCAAAGUUUAUAAAAAGCCAGUUGUUGAAAAUAAUGACAAGCCGGCAUCAUCAGUCAUUGUUAAACCUUUGUCUCCAAAUUGUAGUUUGGAUGAUCACAUCGAACAUAAUGCCAUGUUAAAAUCUUUGUGCCAGUCGCUUCAGAAUGAACUAACUAGUCUUCGAAAAGAACGAACUAUCUUACAGCUUCGAUUUGAACAGUUACACUGCCCAUAA